GAGAAGAGGCCACGAAACCAACAGGAGAAGAUCCAAACACACUCAACUCUUCCAUCAAUUGAACGUGUGUCUUCAGAACUGAAAGAAGCUGUCAAGAUGAAAGGCGUCAAAUAUCUCGCUGGUCUUCUUCUGCUCCUCUUUGUUCAACACAGCAUCUGUGUCCCACUUCAAGAUGACAGCACAAGCACAGAGACAGUGGAAAGUCUUCCGGCGAGGGGUAAGGGAUUCACGAGCGCAAAGAGACAUUCUGAGGGAACUUUC